rnacentral:RNase_MRP_RNA from 2 species
CAAGCAAGCCAAGGACCAUAUGUUUUUUGUGUUACACUUUCAGCAUCUAAGCUUAUUAUAUUCAACACAAGGAGAAAGUCCCCGGAAAAAAAAUAUCUUCUGUCCAAUGAUUAAAGAUUAGGGCAGUGGGGUAUUUAGUAAAGCAACUUUGUUUGUUUGUUUUUUCAUAAUAAAAGUAAUAUGGUCACCCUAUAAUAAUGGGGCAACUUAAUGGGGCUUACUCUGGCUUGUUU